rnacentral:rRNA from 1 species
UACGUAGGGUCCGAGCGUUGUCCGGAAUUAUUGGGCGUAAAGGGCUCGUAGGCGGUUUGUCGCGUCGGGAGUGAAAACCUACAGCUUAACUGUGGGCUUGCUUUCGAUACGGGCAGACUUGAGGCAUGCAGGGGAGAACGGAAUUCCAGGUGUAGCGGUGAAAUGCGUAGAUAUCUGGAGGAACACCGGUGGCGAAGGCGGCAUUCUGGACUACAACUGACACUGAGGAACGAAAGCCAGGGGAGCAAACGGG